GAUGAACGCUGGCGGCGUGCCUAACACAUGCAAGUCGAGCGAUUUUCUUCGGAGAAGAGCGGCGGACGGGUGAGUAACGCGUGGGUAACCUGCCCUGUACACACGGAUAACAUACCGAAAGGUAUGCUAAUACGAGAUAAUAUGCUUUUAUCGCAUGGUAGAAGUAUCAAAGCUCCGGCGGUACAGGAUGGACCCGCGUCUGAUUAGCUAGUUGGUGAGGUAACGGCUCACCAAGGCGACGAUCAGUAGCCGACCUGAGAGGGUGAUCGGCCACAUUGGAACUGAGACACGGUCCAAACUCCUACGGGAGGCAGCAGUGGGGAAUAUUGCACAAUGGGCGAAAGCCUGAUGCAGCAACGCCGCGUGAGCGAUGAAGGCCUUCGGGUCGUAAAGCUCUGUCCUCAAGGAAGAUAAUGACGGUACUUGAGGAGGAAGCCCCGGCUAACUAC
rnacentral:rRNA from 1 species